AUUGAACGCUGGCGGCAUGCCUUACACAUGCAAGUCGAACGGCAGCACGGGAGCAAUCCUGGUGGCGAGUGGCGAACGGGUGAGUAAUAUAUCGGAACGUGCCCAGUCGUGGGGGAUAACGUAGCGAAAGCUACGCUAAUACCGCAUACGAUCUAUGGAUGAAAGCGGGGGAUCGCAAGACCUCGCGCGAUUGGAGCGGCCGAUAUCAGAUUAGGUAGUUGGUGAGGUAAAGGCUCACCAAGCCGACGAUCUGUAGCUGGUCUGAGAGGACGACCAGCCACACUGGGACUGAGACACGGCCCAGACUCCUACGGAGGCAGCAGUGGGGGAAUUUUUGGGACAAUGGGCGCAAGCCUGAUCCAGCAAUGCCGCGUGCAGGAUGAAGGCCUUCGGGUU
rnacentral:rRNA from 1 species